CCUGCAGUACGCUCAGUAGGUAGAGCCGCCUCCUUAUAAGGGGCAAGUCGCUGGUUCGAGCCCAGCCUGUAGGA
rnacentral:tRNA from 1 species